rnacentral:lncRNA from 1 species
ACAGAGGUCCAAAGAGAGGACAAGUGCUCCCACCUUUUUAGGUGACUUAACAAAACCGAUGUUUUUCACUCUCUUCCCCAUCCACUGAGGGGUUGCAUGUAAGCUGACAGGUCAGGUUUGAUCAGGCAGUCAUAUGUGAGUGGUUGGGAGAUUUGUUGAUAAGGCACAAGGAACAAAAUGAAAAUGAGGCAAGGUGGUAUCCUUAAGCAACAAUUUGUUCUGUUUCACUGGUAGAUAGAUUUGAAUUACUCUGCUGUCUUUCCAUGAUUUGCAGAUCACUGCAGGUAACCUGCUAAAGUUGUUUAUAGGCUGUAAAAUACAGGUCAGAAAAAUCUAAUGGUGAGGGCGCCAAGGCUCAGGUUUUCUCUUUUUUGUUUGAAUAAAUAGUAUUGUUCAGGGCAUUUUCUCCUGUUUUUCCAUUCCCAAGUAUUUUGUUGAGCACCUGCCAUGCAUACUAUGUAUUCAUUAUCUUAUUUCAUUUCCAUUUUACAGAUUAUGAAACUGAGGCUCAGAGAGGUUAAGUAACUUACUUGGGAGUGAGUGGAGAAUAGAUUCAAAUCAAGGUUCAUCUGAUUCUACAUCCUAUGCUCUUAAGCCCUUUCUCAGAACACUAGCCGACAAGGCCUAAAAAACCACCAGAAGAUCUAAAGUCUAAACCAUGUAAAACACUGAUGAAAUAAAUAGCAAUUCCUCCUCUGAAUGCUGCAAAUGACUGGUCUCAGCCUGCACUGUUUCCAUCAUCCUGUAAUGAAGUAUUAAAUGUAUAUAAUAGAUCCGAGGAUUUCCUAGGUGUUCAGAGAGUCAGCUGGAUCCCAGAUACUUUCGAUUCAGAAACAAAUCUCCUACUGAAUAAUAUUUGAAAGUCCUGGAGUUCCUAUCGUGGCUCAGUGGUUAACAAACCUGACUAGGAUCCAUGAAGACGUGGGUUUGAUCCCCUGGACUUGCUCAGUGGGUUAAGGAUCCAGUGUUGCCGUGAGCUGUGGUGUAGGCUGCAGACAGAGCUCGGAUCCUGUGUUGCUGUGGCUGUGGUGUAGGCUGGCAGCUACAGCUCUGAUCUGGCCUCGGAAGCUCCAUAUGCUGUGGAUACAGCUCUAAAAAGACCAAAGACCAAAAAAAAAAAAAAAAAAUUGUGAAAGUCCUGAAGCCUGAUCACCUUAGCAAGAUUUCCUAGCUGACUUAGAGGCUGGUUCUCUUAUGAAUCAGUCAAUGGCGUGCACUUCAGGCCAUUCUGGCCCCAGGUCAUCAAGGAGCCCAUUUU